rnacentral:rRNA from 1 species
CGUGCUAAUACAUGCAAGUUGAACGAUGAUUUCUGGUACUUGUAUCAGAAUGAAGAGUAGCGAACGGGUGAGUAACGCGUGGGUAACCUACCUCUUAGCGGGGGACAACUAUUGGAAACGAUAGCUAAUACCGCAUAACAAUAUUAAACACAUGUUUAACAUUUGAAAGUACCAGUUGGUACACUAGGAGAUGGACCCGCGUUGUAUUAGCUAGUUGGUAGUGUAAUGGACUACCAAGGCGAUGAUACAUAGCCGACCUGAGAGGGUGAUCGGCCACAUUGGGACUGAGACACGGCCCAAACUCCUACGGGAGGCAGCAGUAGGGAAUCUUCGGUAACGGACGAAAGUCUGACCGAGCAACGCCGCGUGAGUGAAGAAGGUUUUCGGAUCGUAAAACUCUGUUGUUAGAGAAGAACGUUGUGUAGAGUGGAAAAUUACACAAGUGACGGUAUCUAACCAGAAAGGGACGGCUAACUACGUGCCAGCAGCCGCGGUAAUACGUAGGUCCCGAGCGUUGUCCGGAUUUAUUGGGCGUAAAGCGAGCGCAGGUGGUUUAAUAAGUCUGAUGUAAAAGGCAGUGGCUCAACCAUUGUGUGCAUUGGAAACUGUUAGACUUGAGUGCAGUAGAGGAGAGUGGAAUUCCAUGUGUAGCGGUGAAAUGCGUAGAUAUAUGGAGGAACACCGGUGGCGAAAGCGGCUCUCUGGACUGUAACUGACACUGAGGCUCGAAAGCGUGGGUAGUAAACAGGAUUAGAUACCCUGGUAGUCCACGCCGUAAACGAUGAGUGCUAGUUGUUUGGGGCUAUCCAGCCCUAAGUGACGCAGCAAACGCAUUAAGCACUCCGCCUGGGGAGUACGACCGCAAGGUUGAAACUCAAAGGAAUGACG